CUUCAUUUUCUCGGUGGUUGUGGGCCGUAUAGUUCAGUUAUACGACAUUUUCUCCCUUAGAAAAAGUCGUGUUCGAACCACUUCUUGGGCAGAAUAAUUGCAUUCAAUUUUAACCGAUCUGCCGAGAAAACUGGCUGGAAAUUAAAUUCCAUUUCGAGUGAAUAUUCAAACGCCAACGUAUCUGUGGAAUUAUUCAGUGGUUCAGUGUUUGAACAGCCGUGUUUUUUCGAUCGAAGAGAAAUUUCUAAAUUAUCACUUUAGUUUUCGCACGGGGCGGUAGAAACAUUCGAAAUGGCUGAUGGACUUGCUCCGAAUGCGCCAGGUGGCGAACCUAACGAAGAUGGAAUUGUUGGCGGUCCACGAACCCCUCAGCAAAUUGCUGCACAAAAACGAUUGCAGCAAACACAGGCCCAAGUCGAUGAGGUGGUGGACAUUAUGAAAACAAAUGUAGAAAAAGUACUAGAAAGAGAUCAAAAGCUAUCUGAAUUGGACGAUAGAGCUGAUGCAUUACAACAAGGUGCAUCACAGUUCGAACAACAGGCAGGAAAACUAAAGAGAAAAUUUUGGCUACAGAAUUUAAAGAUGAUGAUAAUUAUGGGCGUCAUUUUCAUCGUAAUAGUCGGGAUAAUCGUAUCAAACUUCAUGUAGACAACUAACAUAAAAUUCGCCAGUUAUCGCCUAAAAAAUUGAUUCUCAAUAAAAAUAAAAAAAAAUUCUUUAACAAAAAUAACAAAAAAGUAAAAGUAAAAUUCAUGCCGGAGGAAAAAGCGCAACCACAAGAGAAAAUUGUUUAUGCCCCUGCCCCAUUACCAGAUCAAUCAGGAGGACCACCACAAGCACCAGCAGCACCUGCAAAGGGCAGUAAUUCUGCAUUCGUACAGGACUCAUUUUGGAAUCAUAAACUUUAAAUUAAAACAAAAAUAAAAUAAAUAAAUAUUAUUUUAACGGAACAGAAGUAAAAAAUUUGAAUUAUUAUUAAACACAUUAAUCCCAACAUAAUACAAGACACAACGGACAGAUAUUUAGUGAAAGAUAUCAAUAACAAAGAUAUUAUUGAACGUAUUUAUAACAAAAGAAAUGGGAAAUUUUCAUUUCUUUUUCACAUCAUCGAAAUGUGUUGAAUGAAAAAUUUUCCGUAGUUUAUCAAUGGAUAUCACAUUGGAUACAAAUGAUCGAACAUAUUGGUUGUUUUUUUUGUCAUUCGAAAAUAUAAGUCGAAUGAUCUUUCUCCAAAAAGGAUAACAUUUUCCAAGUCCUUCGUAUCGUAGUUUAUAUUCAUAAAAAAAUUCCCUCAAUUACUUUUUAGACCGAAUUGUAAGAGUGUAGCGAAGCAAAAAAAAAAUUAUUUCAAAAUUAGGCUCUCUCUGUGUGUCUCACAUAAAAUAUUAUAAAAUAAUAACACCAACAUCUCCACAUUUUAAAUUUAAAUUUCGAUUGCAAAACAUAUAAAAAGAAUUAUGUCAACUAACAAAAAGAAACCGAGUUAAAAUUAAAUUAAACGAGUAAAUUUUGAAACAAUCUCUUGGACCUGCGGCCAGGAAGUUAUAAUAAAGAAGAAAAAAACAUAAAAUAAAACAACUAUUUUGCCUAAGUAAAUGAUUUUUUAGAUAGCAAUCACAAUUGAUUUUUUUUUUCAUUUUUGUUGAACCAAUCCCCCAAUUAAUGUCAAGAAUUUCUCUUUUUUGCAAUACAAGAAAUUUUCAGAAUCUCCUAUUUCGAAUGGUUUUAUUUUUAUAUAAUGGUUGUCAUUACAUAAACAGAAUAGUUAAGUAGUAAAUACCGGAAACUCUUUUUGUUGUUGUUAUACUUUACUGUAAAUGGUUUCUACUGAGGAAUGAUACCCACUUUGUCUCAAUUCCCGUAUAACAUUCCGAAGUGUAUUUUUGUUCGUCAAUUUGCCCAAUAUAAUCAACGACAAAGCAUGAACAUGGUAAAAUGGAAUUAUGAGUAGAAUUUGUUGGAUAAUGGAAAAUGGGAAAUUAAUUUAAAAAAAUAAUAAAGAAAAAAAUGAAUAAAACACAAUAAUGAAAAUAUUGAAAAAUUGAUCAUAUAAACCGUAAGGCUUUUCAUUAUUCAAAACUAUUAAAUAUGUAAAGAAAUAUAUAUAAAUUGAGAAAGAAAAAAACAAACCAAUUAAAAAUUGUUAUUAAAACCUUGUUUUCAUUAUAGGAAAUGUUAUAAAAAGAAAUUCAUUAGGUCAGUUUUGUUAAUUCAUUUUAAUUUGAAUCGCUUUUAUUAACCGAAACUUGCUGUCAACAACAACAAAAAUGACGAAAUUUGACAAAAGAAAUGUUUUCCAGCAAAAGAAAUAGUCACUUUGUUAUUGUGAAUCGACUUCGAGACGAUUAAACUUAAAAAGAAAAUUUGAAAGGAAAAUCAUAUACGAAAUAUUUGAAUAUCAUGAGUUACAGAAAAUUAAAUUUAAUUAAUUAAAA